GACAGAGGUGCCGAGCGUUAGGCGGAAUCACUGGGCUUAAAGCGUGUGUAGGCGGACCGUUAAGUACCUUGUGAAAUCCCACGGCUCAACCGUGGAACGGCUGGGUAUACUGGCGGUCUUGGGCCACCUAGGGGCAACCGGAACAAGCGGUGGAGCGGUGAAAUGCGUAGAUAUCGCUUGGAACGCCGACGGUGAAAACAGGUUGCUGGGGGUGUGCCGACGCUGAGACACGAAAGCGUGGGGAGCGAACAGG
rnacentral:rRNA from 1 species